rnacentral:rRNA from 1 species
GCGCAGCAGUCGCGAAACCUCCGCAAUGCGCGAAAGCGCGACGGGGUUACCCCGAGUGCCGUCCGCUGAGGACGGCUUUUGCCCAGUGUAGCCAGCUGGGCGAAUAAGGAGAGGGCAAGUCUGGUGUCAGCCGCCGCGGUAAUACCAGCUCUCCGAGUGGUGGGGACGCUUAUUGGGCCUAAAGCAUCCGUAGCCGGUCUGGCAAGUCCCUUGUUAAAUCCAACGAUUCAAUCGUUGGACUGCAAGGGGUACUGCCAGACUAGGGGGCGGGAGAGGCCGACGGUAUUCCCGGGGUAGGGGUGAAAUCCUAUAAUCCCGGGAGGACCACCAGUGGCGAAGGCUGUCGGCUAGAACGCGCCCGACGGUGAGGGAUGAAAGCUGGGGGAGCGAACCGGAUUAGAUA